UACGUAGGGGGCAAGCGUUGUCCGGAUUUAUUGGGCGUAAAGAGCUCGUAGGCGGUUUGUUGCGUCGGCUGUGAAAUCCCAAGGCUCAGCCUCGGGUCUGCAGUCGAUACGAGCAAACUAGAGUGUUGCAGGGGAGACUGGAAUUCCUGGUGUAGCGGUGAAAUGCGCAGAUAUCAGGAGGAACACCGGUGGCGAAGGCGGGUCUCUGGGCAACAACUGACGCUGAGGAGCGAAAGCGUGGGGAGCGAACAGG
rnacentral:rRNA from 1 species